UGUGCUGUUGUAUUUGUUGUGUUACGUUUCCUUUGUCGUCUGUCAGCGUGUUGCUUCUCGUGUUUCUCCCAUUUCCUUUCUGCUCGGGGGUGUGGAAUGCCAGGGAAUGUUAGAUACAUUUGUUUAUGUAACCACCUUAAUAUGCAUGGGUAUAAACAUCAUGCUUUGCACAGGAAGUUUAGAUAUGUCUAGUUAUGACACGGAAUGCCGAACGGCACUAAAGCACUUCCAAAGGACUAGAAUGAUAUUAUGUGAUAUAAAGGCUACAUGACGGUAAAAACAUAUCGACUAGAAAUAUGUGCACUGGGGAAGUAAAUGGCGGUAAAGACAGUUCAAAAUGACUAGAGGUAGAGUGAAUAAGUCAUAAAAAGGCUAAGUAGCAAGGUCUUGUGGUGAAAGCUCCAAUAUCAACGUAUCACAAGUCCAGUUGCAACAGCAAGUUUGAAGUAGUCAACCAGAUGAGGCCUGGCUGUCACCUUCUCUGUACAUUCCUUGGCAAGGUGGUACAGUCCAAUACUGCUGUAGCACUGGGAAACUUCUUUGACCAGACGGAUCACAU